ACUCCUGCGGGAGGCAGCAGUGGGGAAUUUUGGACAAUGGGCGAAAGCCUGAUCCAGCAAUGCCGCGUGCAGGAUGAAGGCCUUCGGGUUGUAAACUGCUUUUGUACGGAACGAAAAAGCUCCUUCUAAUACAGGGGGCCCAUGACGGUACCGUAAGAAUAAGCACCGGCUAACUACGUGCCAGCAGCCGCGGUAAUACGUAGGGUGCGAGCGUUAAUCGGAAUUACUGGGCGUAAAGCGUGCGCAGGCGGUUAUGUAAGACAGAUGUGAAAUCCCCGGGCUCAACCUGGGAACUGCAUUUGUGACUGCAUGGCUAGAGUACGGUAGAGGGGGAUGGAAUUCCGCGUGUAGCAGUGAAAUGCGUAGAUAUGCGGAGGAACACCGAUGGCGAAGGCAAUCCCCUGGACCUGUACUGACGCUCAUGCACGAAAGCGUGGGGAGCAAACAGGAUUAGAAACCCCGGUAGUCC
rnacentral:rRNA from 1 species